CUGGGUGUAGCUCAGUCUGGCAGAGCGCACGGUUCGGGUCCGUGAGGCCGCAGGUUCAAAUCCUGCCACCCAGA
rnacentral:tRNA from 1 species